UACGUAGGGGGCAAGCGUUGUCCGGAAUUAUUGGGCGUAAAGCGCGCGCAGGCGGCCUGGAAAGUCUGGUGUUUAAACCCGGGGCUCAACCCCGGGACGCACCGGAAACUGCCAGGCUGGAGUGCAGAAGAGGAAAGUGGAAUUCCACGUGUAGCGGUGAAAUGCGUAGAGAUGUGGAGGAACACCAGUGGCGAAGGCGACUUUCUGGGCUGUCACUGACGCUGAGGCGCGAAAGCGUGGGGAGCAAACAGG
rnacentral:rRNA from 1 species